UACGUAGGUGGCAAGCGUUGUCCGGAAUUAUUGGGCGUAAAGAGCUCGUAGGCGGUCUGUCGCGUCGGAUGUGAAAACUCGGGGCUCAACCCCGAGCCUGCAUUCGAUACGGGCAGACUAGAGUUCGGUAGGGGAGACUGGAAUUCCCGGUGUAGCGGUGAAAUGCGUAGAUAUCGGGAGGAACAUCAGUGGCGAAGGCGGCUGCCUGGCCCAAUACUGACACUCAGGUGCGACAGCGUGGGGAGCAAACAGG
rnacentral:rRNA from 1 species